AUUGAACGCUGGCGGCAUGCCUUACACAUGCAAGUCGAACGGCAGCACGGGUGCUUGCACCUGGUGGCGAGUGGCGAACGGGUGAGUAAUACAUCGGAACGUACCUUAUCGUGGGGGAUAACGCAGCGAAAGCUGUGCUAAUACCGCGUACGCCCUGAGGGGGAAAGCGGGGGAUCGAAAGACCUCGCGCGAUUAGAGCGGCCGAUGCCUGAUUAGCUUGUUGGUGGGGUAAAAGCCCACCAAGGAGACGAUCAGUAGCCGGUCUGAGAGGACGAUCAGCCACACUGGGACUGAGACACGGUCCAGACUCCGACGGGAGGCAGCAGUGGGGAAUUUUGGACAAUGGGGGCAACCCUGAUCCAGCAAUGCCGCGUGAGUGAAGAAGGCCUUCGGGUUGUAAAGCUCUUUUGUCAGGGAAGAAACACCGGCUCUAACACAGUCCGGGAAUGACGGUACCUGAAGAAUAAGCACCGGCUAACUACGUGCCAGCCGCCGCCGUAA
rnacentral:rRNA from 1 species